UCGGUCUGGGAUGGGCUCGCGGCCUAUCMGCUUGUUGGUGGGGUAGUGGCCUACCAAGGCMACCACGGGUAGCCGGCCUGAGAGGGCGACCGGCCACACUGGGACUGAGAUACGGCCCAGACUCCUACGGGAGGCAGCAGUGGGGAAUAUUGCACAAUGGGCGCAAGCCUGAUGCAGCGACGCCGCGUGAGGGAUGACGGCCUUCGGGUUGUAAACCUCUUUCAGCAGGGAAGAAGCGCAAGUGACGGUACCUGCAGAAGAAGCGCCGGCUAACUACGUGCCAGCAGCCGCGGUAAUACGUAGGGCGCAAGCGUUGUCCGGAAUUAUUGGGCGUAAAGAGCUCGUAGGCGGUUUGUCGCGUCUGCUGUGAAAACCUAAGGCUCAACCUUGGGCUUGCAGUGGGUACGGGCAGACUAGAGUGCGGUAGGGGUGACUGGAAUUCCUGGUGUAGCGGUGGAAUGCGCAGAUAUCAGGAGGAACACCGAUGGCGAAGGCAGGUCACUGGGCCGCAACUGACGCUGAGGAGCGAAAGCAUGGGGAGCGAACAGGAUUAGAUACCCUGGUAGUCCAUGCCGUAAACGUUGGGCACUAGGUGUGGGGCUCAUUCCACGAGUUCCGUGCCGCAGCAAACGCAUUAAGUGCCCCGGCUGGGGAGUACGGCCGCAAGGCUAAA
rnacentral:rRNA from 1 species